rnacentral:rRNA from 1 species
AUUGAACGCUGGCGGCAGGCCUAACACAUGCAAGUCGAGCGGAUGAAGGGAGCUUGCUCCUGGAUUCAGCGGCGGACGGGUGAGUAAUGCCUAGGAAUCUGCCUGGUAGUGGGGGAUAACGUCCGGAAACGGGCGCUAAUACCGCAUACGUCCUGAGGGAGAAAGUGGGGGAUCUUCGGACCUUACGCUAUCAGAUGAGCCUAGGUCGGAUUAGCUAGUUGGUGGGGUAAAGGCCUACCAAGGCGACGAUCCGUAACUGGUCUGAGAGGAUGAUCAGUCACACUGGAACUGAGACACGGUCCAGACUCCUACGGGAGGCAGCAGUGGGGAAUAUUGGACAAUGGGCGAAAGCCUGAUCCAGCCAUGCCGCGUGUGUGAAGAAGGUCUUCGGAUUGUAAAGCACUUUAAGUUGGGAGGAAGGGCAGUAGGUUAAUACCUUGCUGUUUUGACGUUACCAACAGAAUAAGCACCGGCUAACUUCGUG